AUUGAACGCUGGCGGAAGGCUUAACACAUGCAAGUCGAGCGAGCGGCGGACGGGUGAGUAAUGUCUGGGAAACUGCCUGAUGGAUGGGGUUAACUACUGGAAACGGUAGCUAAUACCGCAUACCAUCAGAUGUGUCCAGAUGGGAUUAUCUAGUAGGUGGGGUAAUGGCUCACUUAGGCGACGAUCCCUAGCUAGUCUGAGAGGAUGACAAUCCACACUGGAACUGUGACACGGUCCAGACACCUAAGGGAGGCAGCAGUGGUGAAUAUUGCACAAUGGGCGCAAGCCAAAUGCAGCCAUGCCGCUUGAGUGAAGAAGGCCAUCGGGUUGUAAAGCACUUUCAGCGAGGAGGCGUUACUCGCAGAAGAAGCACCGGCUAACACCGUGCCAGCGGAGGCGGUAAUUC
rnacentral:rRNA from 1 species